rnacentral:snRNA from 1 species
UCCGUACCGCAAAACGCAGUCAC